rnacentral:rRNA from 1 species
AUUGAACGCUAGCGGGAUGCUUAACACAUGCAAGUCGAACGGAGUGGCGGACGGGUGAGUAAUAUAUCGGAACGAGCCCAGUAACGGGGGAUAACUACUCGAAAGAGUGGUUAAUACCGCAAACGAUUGGAGAGGCCGAGAUCGGAUGAGCUAGUUGGUGGGGGAAAGGCUCACCAAGGCAACGAUCAGCAGCUGGUUUGAGAGGACGACCAGCCACACUGGUACUGAGACACGGCCCAGACUCCUACGGGAGGCAGCAGUGGGGAAUUUUGGACAAUGGGGGAAGCCCUGAUCCAGCCAUCCCGCGUGUAUGAUGAAGGCCUUCGGGUUGGAAAGUACUUUUUGCAGAGAAGCGGUAUCUGCAGAAUAAGCACCGGCUAACUACGUGCCAGCAGCCGCGGUAAUAC